ensembl:snRNA U6 U6 spliceosomal RNA
GUGCUCUCUUAAGCAGCACAAAUACAAAACUUGGAGUGAAACAAAGAUGAGCAUUGUUCCUGUGCAAGGAUGACGUGCAAAUGUGUAAACCGUUUCAUAUAAAA